AUUAUGAAUACUACUGCUAUAAACAUUCCUGUGCAAGUUUUUGUGUGAAUUUCUGUUUUUCAUUUAUCUUGUGUCUACACCUAGGAUUGGAAAUACUAGGUCAUAUGGGACCUCUGUGUUUGACCAUUUGAGAAGUUGUUGGACUAUUUUCGAAAGUGGCAACACCAUUUCUGAUUCCCAUCAGCAAUGUGUGAGUUUCUAAUUUCUCCACAUCCUCACCAGCACUGGUUAUUAUGACCUCCUUAUUACAGCCAUCUUACUGGGUGUGAAGUGGUAGCUCAUUGUAGUUUCGACUUGCAUUUACCUACUGACUAAUGAUGUUGAGCAUCUUUUCACAUGGAUAUUAGGGAUUUGUAUAACUUCUUUGAGAAGACGUCUAUUCAGGUCAUUUUCCUAUUUUUAAAUUGAGUGAUUUGUCUUUAUAUUAUUGAUUUGCAAGAGUUCUUCUCAUAUUCUAGAUACAAGUCCCUUAUCAGAUAAGUGAUUUGCAAAUCGUUUCUCUCAUUCUUUGGGUUGUCUUUUCACUUUCUUAAUAGUGUCUUUCGAAACAUAGAAGUUUUUAGUUGUGGUGAAGUCCGAUGUAUUUAUUUUUCUUGUGCAGCUGAUGCUUUUGGUAUCACAUCUAAGAUUUGUGUCACAUCCAUUGUCAAACCUGAGGUCAGGAAGAGCCCCCUGUUUUCUUCUAAGAGUUUUUACAGUUUUAACUCUUACAGUUAGGCCCUUGAUCUGUUUUAAGUUAAUUUUUUAUGUGGUGUGAGGUACAAAUAUAAUUUUGUUCUUUUGCUUGUGGCCCUCCAGUUGUCCAGCACCAUCUGUUGAAGAGACUAUUCUUUUCCUUGAAAGACCUUGGCAGUUUUGUCAAAACUCAGUUGACCAUAGAUACAUAAUUAUACUUCUGGAGUCUCAAUUUUAUUUCAUUGAUUUGUCUAUCCUAUGCCAGUACCACAAUGUCUCAAUUGCUGUUGCUUUGUAGUCAGUUUUGAAUCAAAAUAUGGGAAUCUUUUAACUUUGUUCUUUUUCAAGAGUGUUUUUUGGUUAUUCCAUGUCUGGUGCCAUAUAAUACGAAUUUUAGGAUGAGCUUAUUCGUUUCUAUAAAGAAGCCAGCUGUGAUUAUAAUAGGGAUUGCGCUGAAUCUGUAGAUCAAUUUUGGUUGUUAUCUUAACAAUAUUGUCUUUGAAUCCAUGAACAUGGGAUUUUUUUGUUGAUGUAGAUCUUUAUUUUAACAAUAAAACCAUAGGGCUCUUUGAAGGUGUUUCAGAACAGCUAUCUUUUGAGGUUGCCUACUCUUACCAACUCCUCUGUGAGAGCUGCCACAAAGUUCUGGGUCUCCAUCAUGUCCAAGGCAUUGAUGCAGCCCUAGGUGAAUAAGCCUAGGGAGUCAGCUGGAGGGGAACUGGGCUGGGUUUUGUCCUUCCCUUUAAAGGUCCUCCCUCCUGCAAGCCUGCCAAGGCAACUGGGUGCUCAUAGCUCCAGCUCAUUGCUAGAUCUUGGGUGUUCCCUUAACCUUGGUUUAAGAUCAGCUGUUCACUUUGUCUCUACACACUAUUCCUUUCCUCUUCAGAGCUGGGGAAUCAUCAUAUCUUAGGGUGCCCAAUCGUCUGAGUUUGUCCUUUCACGUGUGUGAGAAGGGCAUAAUCCAGUCUUUAUCAUGUGUGUUUCUACUACCCUCAGCACCACUUAUUGGAAAGGCCACUCUCUGCCACUGCAUUUCAGUGCCACCUUUGUCGUCAAUCAGGUGACCAUGAAUAGGAGGUCUGUUUCUGGUCUGUGCCAUUAGGUUAUUUGUCUGUUCUUGUUCUAAUACCAAAGUGUCUUAGUUAUUACAGCCUCAUAAGAUGUCUUGGUUUGGGUGGUUCAAAUCCUCCAGCCUCUGUCUCUGUCAGAAUUGCCUUGGCUCUGGAUCAUUUACAGUUCCAAGUAAAUUUUAGGAUCAGCUUAUCAAUUUUAAGAAAAGCACCUAGUGGAAUUUGAGAUUGUACUAAAUCUAUAGGUCAGUUUAGGGAGGAAGAGUUGACAUCAUCCCAACAGGUAAUUUUCCAAUCCAUGAAUAUGGAAUAUUCCUUCAUUUAUUAAGAUUUUAAAAUUUUCUCUCAGUACAGUUUUGUGGUUUCCUGUGCAGACAUCUUGCAUAACUUUGGUAGCUUUCUAAGUAUUUGCUGUUUUUAAUGCUAUUGUAAAUGGCAUUGAAAAUUUUUAAAUGGCAUUUUUAAAAUUCCUGUUAUAAAAAUACUGUUAUUGUCAUAGAAAUACAGUUGUAUAUUGACCUUGUAUGCAUUAAUCUUGCUAAAUGUAUUUAUUAAACCUCAUACCUUGUAAGUUAUUUUUGGUUCUCUUAUAAUGCUAAUUUUAAUAUAUUUUUUUCCCCUAAUUUGCUUGGUCAGUAACUGUUUGGUUGCAGGCAGCAGAAACUUCCUCCAGGAAGUUCAGAUAAAAGUGAAGAUAGUAUCAGGCCCCAGAGGCAUGCUGGGAAAGCCAGAGCAAGGAAUUCAGUGGGGCUUCAUGGGAACUCCUCCCUUGGGAUCUCUCCCCUUUGGACCAUGAAAUCCAGAUCUCCACACCUCUGUGCACCUCUACUCUUUCCUGCCCACUUGCCAGUCUGGUGUCUGCUGUCUUAGCACUAUGUAAGCCCCAGCUCAGAUUCCGUAGCCAUGCACCAACGCCCAUCCCAUCAGGCCUCAGUGUUCUAGGCCAAUCUGAUGGCUCUGAGUUAGUUGUCCCGGCUACCUUGUUCACUGUAGUAGGAGGGCAGGGUGGUGAGACAGUGAUACAGUGAGCAGUGUUCUCCAACACAUAAUCCUGCCUAUUCACAAGAAAACUUGGAAAAUAUUAAUGUAAUGUGUAAGUUUUCACCUCCCAGAUAUACCUACUGUUAAUUUUGCUGUAACUCUGACUAGUAUUUUUUCUAAAUAUAUGUAUAUUUUUAUAUAUUAUUUAUUUUCCCUCUACAUAGAAAUUUACAAAUUGAAAUUACGUUCUACAUAAACAGUAUUAUAUAUAUAUAUGCUUGUUUUACCUAAUUUUAUGUCAUUUGAGGUUGACGAUUUUAUUAGAUAUACUUCAAAAACAAUCUUUAUGGUUUAAUAGAAUAUAUAAUAUUCCAUUACAAUGGCUAUAUCAUAAUUUAAUGACCAAUUCCUAUUUUGAGCCAUUUGGGUUCUUUCCAGUUUUUUGAUAAAUAUUGCCAUAGCUAACAAUUUUGGACUUAAAAGUCUUGUCUAAUAUCUGAUUAUUUCUUUCAGAUUGAUUCCUUGGAGUGGAAUUAGUAAAAAGGAUAUGAAUAUUUUUAGUCUCUUGAUAUGUUAGACUGAUUUCCAGAAGGCUUGUACCAAUUUACUCUUCUACCGACAACUUUUCACCACCUGGAAGUGGGGAGUCAGCUCCAGCACAGAGCUUUGCGGGAGGACAAAAGAGACGAUGUGGAUAAAGUGCUCCGCAGAUCAUCAGGGGCGGCAAAGGCUGAAAUGAGAACCUGAUUGUCAAUGACACGACAAAAAGGUUAGAGGACGGAGGCUGGAUAACUUUGUGGAAAGUUCCUCUGUGGAACAUUUUUAUCUUGGCCAAGUUGCAGCUUCAGAACCC
rnacentral:lncRNA from 1 species